AAAGUCGGCCAGGCAAUCGCUGGAUACUUCGGUAUCGGGAGGAAAGUCCGGGCUCCGCAGGGCAGGAUGCCAGCUAACGGCUGGGUGCUAUAAGUCGCAAGACCCAAGGCAACGGAAAGUGGAACAGAGAGCAGACCGCCCGCCGGGGAAACCCGGCAGGUAAGGGUGAAAGGGUGGGGUAAGAGCCCACCGCGCCGGCGGUAACGUUCGGUGGCACGCUAAACCCCAUCCGGAGCAAGACCAAAUAGGGAAGCGUCAGGCGUGGCCCACGCUGCUUCCGGGUAGGUUGCUUGAGCCUGUCGGUGACGGCAGGCCUAGAGGAAUGAUUGCCGAACCUCGCAAGAGGGGAACAGAACCCGGCUUAUCGGCCGGCUUUCCAA
rnacentral:RNase_P_RNA from 1 species